UAGAGGCCUACCAUGGUGGUAACGGGUAACGGGGUGUUAGGGCACGACACCGGAGAGGGAGCCUGAGAAACGGCUACCACAUCCAAGGAUGGCAGCAGGCGCGCAAAUUACCCAAUCCCGACACGGGGAGGUAGUGACAAUAAAUAACAAUACGGGGUUCUUUCGGAUCUCGUAAUUGGAAUGAGUACAAUUUAAAUCUCUUAACGAGGAACAAUUGGAGGGCAAGUCUGGUGCCAGCAGCCGCGGUAAUUCCGGCUCCAAUAGCGUAUAUUAAGUUGUUGCAGUUAAAAAGCUCGUAGUUGAAUUUCGGGGUUAGUAGGUUGGUCAUGCCUCUGGUAUGUACUGGUCUCACUGAUUCCUCCUUCCUUAUGAACCGUAAUGCCAUUAAUUUGGUGUUGCGGGGAAUUUGGACUGUUACUUUGAAAAAAUUAGAGUGUUUAAAGCAAGCUAACGCUUGAAUACAUUAGCAUGGAAUAAUGAAAUAGGACGUUCGAUCUUAUUUUGUUGGUUUCUAGGAUUGACGUAAUGAUUAAUAGGGAUAGUUGGGGGCAUUAGUAUUCAAUUGUCAGAGGUGAAAUUCUUGGAUUUAUUGAAGACUAACUACUGCGAAAGCAUUUGCCAAGGAUGUUUUCAUUAAUCAAGAACGAAAGUUAGGGGAUCGAAGACGAUCAGAUACCGUCGUAGUCUUAACCAUAAACUAUGCCGACUAGG
rnacentral:rRNA from 1 species